rnacentral:rRNA from 1 species
UACGUAGGGGGCAAGCGUUGUCCGGAAUCAUUGGGCGUAAAGCGCGCGCAGGUGGCCAUUUAAGUCCGCUGUGAAAGUCAGAGGCUCAACCUUUGAAAGCCGGUGGAUACUGGAUGGCUAGAGUACGGAAGAGGCGAGUGGAAUUCCUGGUGUAGCGGUGGAAUGCGCAGAUAUCAGGAGGAACACCAAUAGCGAAGGCAGCUCGCUGGGACGUUACUGACACUAAGGCGCGAAAGCGUGGGGAGCGAACAGG